ensembl:lncRNA
AAUAUAAUAUCGUAGCAACAAAGAGGGAGCAGAGUUGAAUUUGGUCUUGACUGUGUUGAGACUGCAGUACCUGAAGCUCCUGCAAGGAUAAAGUGUAAGGGACAGAUGCACAGAAGGAGCCAGAGCCAGAGACACGUGAGAGAAGGCAGCAUCUAGGAGCAUCAGGGCCAAGUGCCCAUUCACUGAAUUGCCAUGAUGAGAGCCCCACCACCUGCCAGGCCACUGGAAGGACACAUCAGGAAAUAGAGAAAGCAAAACAGCCCACCCCCAGAAGCCUUGAUUUUCUGGUGUGGGAAAGGAAGAUGAACACAAUAAACACAAUAAGGAAAUUACAUAGCCUGUUGGAAAGCUGAAAGUGCUAUGAAAAAAAAAAAAGCAGGGAAAGGUGGGUACCAGGAGGUGGAGGAAGAGGCAGAAUGCUGUGGUAUUACAAAAUGUGAUCACCAACAGUGCCAGUGGUGUCCAGGACGUGCUCCUUACCAGUGGACUACGGCAGAGGUGAUGGGAGGUUAGGUACUACGAGACUUCACCGUAGCAGACUGGGACCAGAGGCUUUCUGCUGGCCCUGAAGGAGCACAGAGAGGGCCACGUGGCAGGGAACUGUGGGUGAUCUGCAAGACCUAAGGUCAGCCUCCCGACAGCCCAGAAGCUGGCCCUCAGUCACACAGCCACCAAGAAAGGAAGCCUGUCAACAGCCACAAGAGUGUGGAAGCAGAUCCUCACGGCACGCUGAGAACCUUGCCUGUGGCCUUCGGAGACUGCGCAGAGGACCAGCUAAGCCUCUCCUGGACUCCUGUCCCACCGUGAUAUAACAAACGGUGGAUAGGAAAAGUGCUAUAACCUUGACAGAGGAAACCGUGGCACAAGAAAGGAGCCCUGAUAUAACAAACAGAACGGCGCUGGAAGGGGCGGGGCCAGCGGCGGGCCCUUCCGGCCGGCGCAGAGACGCGGCUGCUGGACUGAGAAGAUACCCCGGUGCUCAUCGCUGGCAGCUUGGGGUGUGGCUGCCCUUGACGAGGACGCGUCCCUUCCGGUCCAGGGACCCUGCGAGGAGCGCACCCGCCCGGAUCUCCAUGCGGGAACUCACUGGGUCCCUCUGGCGUCGUGUGGAGCCCCCACCCAGGGCAUCGGCCACCGCUCUCUCGGCUCCCUGGUUUCGCAGGGACAAGGGCGAAGUGCGCGAGGACCAGCGCCGUGCGAAUCGAGGUGAAGGAGACCUCGGCCCUGCACCCGCGGCUGGCGAGGCUGUCAGGGCCCCUCUUCUCGGCUUCGACACCGCUGCGGGCCCUUUGACAGGCCCAGGACCUAUAGACUGCUUGGGUGCCUGUUUGCCCUUGGAUCUCAAACCCACUAAUAAUCCCAUCUCUCACUGAGACCCCGGCUUCUGAGGGCGAGUGAGGUUACCAAGGGAGUCCUGCUGCAGCUAGAUACCCAAAGUUUCAUGUUACAAGCGGCCUGGCCCAGAGAGUGAAGGAGCUACCCUGAAGUGACAGAGCACGUAGCUUUAGCUCAGGGCUGUGGUCUGCUCUGGCACGGUAGAUUGCGUUUCCUGCGUGGCUGUAGCAGUUACCAGGCCUACAGAUCUGUGAAAUGAGAAGACCAAAACAGUGACCUCAGAUCGGUUCCACUUCUAACAAUUAUUUUAUUGCUGGGUAUGCACAGGGCUUAGAGAAGUGAAUAUAUCCAGUCUCUGCCAUUCAGCACCUGCUUGAGUUAGGCAGACAUGAUGAUGAUGAUGUUUGGGGAGCAGCAUUAUGUGCAGUCUCCGGCCAAGUACCGAGGGAUUCCGGGAUGAAAAAGAAGGAUCCUUGCCCUCAGCUCAUCAGGAGACUGCACAUCAGUGACAAGCCACAGGGUCCUUGGAGCCCAGCCAGCAGACGUCAGGCUCAGUGGGUCCAAGGACCACUCCUCUCCAUUGAGUGGGUCCGCAUAGAGCCAAGAUGAGUUUACAUCUGCCCUGGAGAGCCGUGGGCUAGAGGGUUGAUGGCACUUUGCUGUUGGUCUUGGUUUUCACCUGUUUCCUACUAAAACUAGACCUCAGCUCAAACUGCAGCCUGGCUGACUGGGGCUCUGAUCCUCCACCCUAGUUCUACCUGCCUCCCCAGCAGAGAUGCCCCCAUAUUUGUAUGCUUCCCUCAGCCUAGAUGACCUUCUGCCAUCCUCAGUUCUGGCUCCCACCUAAUGCUAAGAACAGCCUCCUCCCAGAAGCUACCUCCAAGAGAGCCUUCCGAGAGUAACACUGGCCUGAAUCUGAGUCAAGUGUAUGUAAAUAUUUUCAUCAAGAUGGGAAAACUGUCCAGUCAUUUUAUGUGUUGCCUCUGUGCAUGGGAGAGUGGAUGAAGACUUAGUAUCCGCUUUGACUUAAAGGAAAUGCAAAGGAUUUAUCCCUCAAAACAUACUUCACUUGAAAUGUUACCAUCUAGAGCACCACAUUUUGGGGUGAGACAGCCUGGUAGAAUAUGGACCUCCUGGGAGAUCAGGUGACCGCACAGGCCAUGGGAGGUCUCGCAAGGGUGACUCGAGGACUCAGAACAGGAUCUGCUUUCUUGGGAAAGUGCUUUCUCCUAUCUUGUGAAGAUUUCUUUUGCCUGCAGUUAAAGAGCCUGAAGUUUGUCAAGCUUUAUCCUAGAAGUCCAUUUGUUAGCACUGAGGGAAGAGAGGUUAAGGAAGCUCAGAAAUAAUACAGAAAAGAAAUAGGUGAAGCUUCUUAACCAAUGAAACAUGAGUCAUGCUGGUAAUUCUUCUACAGGUACCUGGGCCUGACCUGUCACUGGGACUGACUGAUUCCUGUUUGAAUUUUGUGGUGAUAUUAGAAUGUUAGGGUUAGGGUUAGGGUUUAGAUGGGAUUAGGGACAGAGACUGCCAAAUCUUUUAGAUAAUGCACUCAAGAGCCUGGGUUUGGCCCUCAGUGGACAGUCAGCUCCAGUUAAGGCCACAGGAAGAAUGAAAGCCUGGUGAGGAAACAGGGCAUGAGGUCAGGGAGGCUUCUCUGAGAAGAACCCUCAGAGCAGAGCUCUGAGUGAGUGAGAGGCCAGCACUAGUUCUCAGGACCUGUUUGUGGGCAGUCAGGUGCUGAGGCAAGAAGGGCUGGGAAUGUGUGGUGAAUCUCAAGGUGCUUGGGAAGGGGCAGGGCAGCAGUGUGAGGGGAACCACGGGGGAUUUGAC